ensembl:snRNA U6 U6 spliceosomal RNA
GUGCUUACUUCUGCAGGACAUAUACUAAAUCUAGAAUGACACAGAGAAGAUUAGCAUGGCCCCACACAAGGGUGACACAUAAAUUCAUGAAAAAUUCCAUAUAUUU